AAAUUGAAGAGUUUGAUCAUGGCUCAGAUUGAACGCUGGCGGCAGGCCUAACACAUGCAAGUCGAACGGUAGCACAGAGAGCUUGCUCUCGGGUGACGAGUGGCGGACGGGUGAGUAAUGUCUGGGAAACUGCCUGAUGGAGGGGGAUAACUACUGGAAACGGUGGCUAAUACCGCAUAACGUCGCAAGACCAAAGAGGGGGACCUUCGGGCCUCUUGCCAUCAGAUGUGCCCAGAUGGGAUUAGCUGGUUGGUGAGGUAACGGCUCACCAAGGCGACGAUCCCUAGCUG
rnacentral:rRNA from 1 species